CCCAGUAACGGCGAGUGAAGCGGCAACAGCUCAAAUUUGAAAUCUGGCCCCCCGGCCCGAGUUGUAAUUUGGAGAGGAUGCUUUUGGCGCGGCGCCGUCCGAGUUCCUUGGAACAGGACGCCACAGAGGGUGAGAGCCCCGUACGGACGGACGCCUAACCUUUACAAAGCUCCUUCGACGAGUCGAGUAGUUUGGGAAUGCUGCUCAAAAUGGGAGGUAAAUUUCUUCUAAAGCUAAAUACCGGCCAGAGACCGAUAGCGCACAAGUAGAGUGAUCGAAAGAUGAAAAGCACUUUGAAAAGAGGGUUAAAAAGUACGUGAAAUUGUUGAAAGGGAAGCGCCUGUGACCAGACUUGCGCCCCGUGGACCAUCCGGCGUUCUCGCCGGUGCACUCUGCGGGGCGCAGGCCAGCAUCGGUUCUCCUAGGGGGAUAAAGGCCGCGGGAACGUAGCUCCUUCGGGAGUGUUAUAGCCCGUGGUGGCAUGCCCCUGGGGGGACCGAGGACCGCGCUUCGGCAAGGAUGCUGCGUAAUGGUCACCAGCGACCCGUCUUGAAACACGGACCAAGGAGUCAAGCAUUGGGGCGAGUGUAUGGGUGCCAAACCCGCACGCGAAAUGAAAGUAAACGCAGGUGAGAGCUUCGGCGCAUCAUCGACCGAUCCUGAUGUCUUCGGAUGGAUUUGAGUAAGAGCCUUACCGCUUGGACCCGAAAGAUGGUGAACUAUGCCUGAAUAGGGUGAAGCCAGAGGAAACUCUGGUGGAGGCUCGCAGCGGUUCUGACGUGCAAAUCGAUCGUCAAAUUUGG
rnacentral:rRNA from 1 species